rnacentral:tRNA from 2 species
AUGCAUGGGGAAUGGUCGGGAUAGCUCAGCUGGUAGAGCAGAGG